rnacentral:lncRNA from 1 species
CAGGGUUACUUUUACUAGGCCUUGCCAAAAAACUGCCAUCAACUCCUCUUGUCAACAGUAGGUUUUCUGCCUCCACACCAGUGAUAUUUGGGUGAAACCAUCUCCGCGAUGUCAUGUUCCUCCCGCCCUCCGGCUCCGCGACGGACCCGCUCCUUGCUCAGGCUCCGCUGGGCUCGGUCACAUCGGGCUGGCCCGAGGGAGGCCCGCUCGGGACCGGACGCGGGGCAGAGCCAGCCGGCCGCGCACAGACCCCCCUCCAGGCCUGGGGAUCCCGGAGACUGUGCAGCUGCCCCCCGGCCCGGCUCGCUCCUCCU